CGACCAACAAGCUUUAAGCUUGGUAUUGGAUGUCAUUUAAAUUAGUGCAUCUUAAAAUUAGUGGCAGUGCCAUUCAGCUUCAAGCGCAGUAAAUUUUCUCGCUUCUGGAGUUUGUAUGUUAUAUUUGCCAGAACCCCUAAAUUAUCAAG
rnacentral:misc_RNA from 1 species